rnacentral:pre_miRNA from 1 species
CCAGUACCAUCUGCUUGGCCGAUUUUGGCACUAGCACAUUUUUGCUUGUGUCUCUCCGCUCUGAGCAAUUAUGUGCAGUGCCAAUAUGGGAAAAGCGGG